CAGUGAGGAAUAUUGGACAAUGGCCGGAAGGCUGAUCCAGCCAUGCCGCGUGCGGGAGGACGGCCCUAUGGGUUGUAAACCGCUUUUGCGGGGGAGCAAUAAUCACUACGUGUAGUGAGAUGAGAGUACCCUGCGAAUAAGCAUCGGCUAACUCCGUG
rnacentral:rRNA from 1 species